AGAAUUAAACUGAAGAGUUUGAUCCUGGCUCAGAUUGAACGCUGGUGGCAUGCUUAACACAUGCAAGUCGAACGGUAACAGGUCUUCGGAUGCUGACGAGUGGCGGACGGGUGAGUAACGCGUAGGAAUCUGCCCAUCUGUGGGGGAUACCAGUUGGAAACGACUGUUAAUACCGCAUAAUAUCUGCGGAUUAAAGGUGGCCUUUGCGCUGCCGCAGAUGGAUGAGCCUGCGUUGGAUUAGCUAGUUGGUGGGGUAAGGGCCUACCAAGGCUACGAUCCAUAGCUGAUUUGAGAGGAUGAUCAGCCACAUUGGGACUGAGACACGGCCCAAACUCCUACGGGAGGCAGCAGUGGGGAAUAUUGGACAAUGGGGGAAACCCUGAUCCAGCAAUGCCAUGUGUGUGAAGAAGGCUCUAGGGUUGUAAAGCACUUUAGUUGGGGAGGAAAGCCUGUGAGUUAAUAGCUUGCAGGAAGGACGUUGCCCAAAGAAUAAGGACCGGCUAACUCCGUGCCAGCAGCCGCGGUAAUACGGGGGGUCCGAGCGUUAAUCGGAAUUACUGGGCGUAAAGGGUCUGUAGGUGGUUUGUUAAGUCAGAUGUGAAAGCCCAGGGCUCAACCUUGGAACUGCAUUUGAUACUGACAAACUAGAGUAUGGUAGAGGAAUAGGGAACUUCUGGUGUAGCGGUGAAAUGCGUAGAGAUCAGAAGGAACACCAAUGGCGAAGGCAACAUUCUGGACCAAUACUGACACUGAGGGACGAAAGCGUGGGGAUCAAACAGGAUUAGAUACCCUGGUAGUCCACGCUGUAAACGAUGAGUACUAGCUGUUGGAUUCGGUGUAAAGGAUCUAGUGGCGCAGCUAACGCGUUAAGUACUCCGCCUGGGGACUACGGCCGCAAGGCUAAAACUCAAAGGAAUUGACGGGGACCCGCACAAGCGGUGGAGCAUGUGGUUUAAUUCGAUGCAACGCGAAGAACCUUACCUGGUCUUGACAUCCUGCGAACUUUCUAGAGAUAGAUUGGUGCCUUCGGGAACGCAGUGACAGGUGCUGCACGGCUGUCGUCAGCUCGUGUUGUGAAAUGUUGGGUUAAGUCCCGCAACGAGCGCAACCCCUAUUGAUAGUUACCAUCAUUAAGUUGGGUACUCUAUUGAGACUGCCGCUGACAAGGCGGAGGAAGGUGGGGACGACGUCAAGUCAUCAUGGCCCUUACGACCAGGGCUACACACGUGCUACAAUGGGUAUUACAGAGGGCUGCGAAGGUGCGAGCUGGAGCGAAACUCAGAAAGGUACUCUUAGUCCGGAUUGCAGUCUGCAACUCGACUGCAUGAAGUCGGAAUCGCUAGUAAUCGCAGGUCAGAAUACUGCGGUGAAUACGUUCCCGGGUCUUGUACACACCGCCCGUCACACCAUGGGAGUGGGUUGCUCCAGAAGUAGAUAGCUUAACGAAUGGGCGUUUACCACGGAGUGAUUCAUAACUGGGGUGAAGUCGUAACAAGGUAGCCGUAGGGGAACCUGCGGCUGGAUCACCUCCUUAA
rnacentral:rRNA from 1 species